UACAGAGGUCCCAAGCGUUGUUCGGAUUCAUUGGGCGUAAAGGGUGCGUAGGUGGCGCGCUAAGUCAGGGGUGAAAUUUCGGAGCUUAACUCCGAAACUGCAUUUGAUACUGGCGUGCUUGAGGACUGGAGAGGAGACUGGAAUUUACGGUGUAGCAGUGAAAUGCGUAGAGAUCGUAAGGAAGACCAGUGGCGAAGGCGGGUCUCUGGACAGUUCCUGACACUGAGGCACGAAGGCCAGGGGAGCAAACGGG
rnacentral:rRNA from 1 species